CGUUAUCCAGUCCGAGGACGACAAGGGCACAGCACUCCAUUCUCACAUUUUGUCUUAUUUCUUCUCAUCAUACGCUCACAUGGUCAAAGGGCACACAACUUUUGUGUACUUUCCCUGCCAUGUGUACGGAGGUGCACUAGUAGUCAGAUAAUUAUCAUAAAUUGCCUAUUUUGAAAUAAUUCCGAAAUCCUGUUGUAUUUAAAUACUGUUGUAUUGAUGUCAGUUAUGCUGGUGUUGAAACGGGAGUAUCGCUACACUGUUGUAUUCAUGCUCAGUGAAGCAGUCAUAAAAUCACACAUGUGUAGCACCUUUGCAAAAUGUUGCACAUGUACGUGUUAUGCGUCGUUAGAAGUGCAUUUUAAAGGGCUUUCAUGCGC